rnacentral:rRNA from 1 species
AACGAACGCUGGCGGCAUGCCUAACACAUGCAAGUCGAACGAGACCUUCGGGUCUAGUGGCGCACGGGUGCGUAACGCGUGGGAAUCUGCCCUUGGGUUCGGAAUAACAGUGAGAAAUUACUGCUAAUACCGGAUGAUGUCUUCGGACCAAAGAUUUAUCGCCCAGGGAUGAGCCCGCGUAGGAUUAGCUAGUUGGUAGGGUAAUGGCCUACCAAGGCGACGAUCCUUAGCUGGUCUGAGAGGAUGAUCAGCCACACUGGGACUGAGACACGGCCCAGACUCCUACGGGAGGCGGCAGUGGGGAAUAUUGGACAAUGGGCGCAAGCCUGAUCCAGCAAUGCCGCGUGAGUGAUGAAGGCCUUAGGGUUGUAAAGCUCUUUUACCCGGGAUGAUAAUGACAGUACCGGGAGAAUAAGCUCCGGCUAACUCCGUG